rnacentral:rRNA from 1 species
UACGUAGGGGGCUAGCGUUGUUCGGAAUUACUGGGCGUAAAGCGCACGUAGGCGGAUCGAUCAGUCAGGGGUGAAGUCCCAGAGCUCAACUCUGGAACUGCCUUUGAUACUGUCGGUCUAGAGUAUGGAAGAGGUGAGUGGAAUUCCGAGUGUAGAGGUGAAAUUCGUAGAUAUUCGGAGGAACACCAGUGGCGAAGGCGGCUCACUGGUCCAUUACUGACGCUGAGGUGCGAAAGCGUGGGGAGCAAAGCAGG